GAUGAACGCUAGCUACAGGCUUAACACAUGCAAGUCGAGGGGCAGCGCAGUGUGGCAAUACAUGGGCGGCGACCGGCGCACGGGUGCGUAACGCGUAUCCAACCUUCCCGUUACUCAGGGAUUGCCUUCCGAAAGGGAGAUUAAUACCUGAUGGUGUUUGAAUUCCGCAUGUUAUUCAAACUAAAGAUUUAUCGGUAACGGAUGGGGAUGCGUGACAUUAGGUAGGUGGCGGGGUAACGGCCCACCAUGCCCACGAUGUCUAGGGGUUCUGAGAGGAAGGUCCCCCACACUGGAACUGAGACACGGUCCAGACUCCUACGGGAGGCAGCAGUGAGGAAUAUUGGUCAAUGGUCGGAAGACUGAACCAGCCAAGUGGCGUGAAGGAUGAAGGUUCUAUGGAUUGUAAACUUCUUUUAUACGGGAAUAAAACCACCUACGUGUAGGUGCUUGUAUGUACCGUAUGAAUAAGCAUCGGCUAACUCCGUGCCAGCCGCCGCGGUAAUAC
rnacentral:rRNA from 1 species